UUUUGCUUCUCUCCCACAUCCUCUGAAGCUUCAGCCUGGUCAGCGUCAAGGGCUGUAGGACGCGGCGAGGGAUGUCCUUGCCUCCUUUCUGGGUUGAGUCUAUUACAAUAGUUUAAAGUUCUGGGUUGGGUAUUUCCCACCCCUCGGGGGUCUGAGAUAAGGAAGAGGGGAGGUUCAUCCAGAUAUCAGGAAUUCUCCACCUUGAGGACACCUACAACGGAUUGGGAUGGAACCGAUUCCCAGCAUAGUUUAUAUUCGUUUCUUCCUGGCCCCUCUUCUCCCAUAGAAGGACUAUGUUCAGGGCUGUGCUCUUUUAUGGAAAGAAGAUUGAGCUAUUUGACUCUAGAGCAAUUAUCUUGUCCUCAGCUGAGAUGCUCGACCAGCACGACAAACCUAGGAAGUUCCUUUUACAUCCAAUGACGUGGGUUCGAAGUGGUUCCUGCCCUUUCAGGCUGAUAGAAGAAGACAAUGGGCGAAUCCCAAUUUCACUCGAAGGAGCAAGGAGACAUCACUCUCAAUUCCUUAUUUGGUUGGUUAUUAACCCUGCGUUAAUAAAAGGAUCCACAAACGUGUUCGGUGCUUUUCCACAGAGCGCACCCAUUCAGAAAGAUCAUAUGCAGCUGGUUUUGUUGGUGGCUGGUUUUUCCCCACAGAUCAAUACUGUCUCCCAAAUUGCCGAGACGAGAGACACGAAGAAUGAAGGAAGGGUGGGAAAAGAAAGAAGAGGAAAAACAACUCUGUAGUACCAGGAGAAAGAAGUGUGUCUGCGCAAGCAAGUCGGAUUCUCCUUGUCGGACAGGUUCUCAUAUAGGGUGUUCCCCCAUCUCGGAUCUAUGGAACUAACCUCCUUUCUUGGAUUCACCUGACAUUCUGUCUGACCCAUCAACUAACCACCCGGGUUGGGUUCACACCAUCUGGGAAAGUAAAUGGGAUCAGCUUACAUACAGCCCGUGUAUCCUGUGAAACCAACAUAACGGUAAACGCAUCAUCGUGCGAAAGAAUAUUUGAAACUACGGUUCGUUUUUCCAGUUAAUGCUCAUUUAAUUUAAUUCAAUGUAUUACAUUUGUUAUAGCCACCCACUCUGUUAGAUUCUGGGUGGCUUACAAGAUUCAGGAACAAUAAAAACGAUAACACAAUUAAACACGCAUAAACACAGUGUGGACUAAUGCAAGGAAUGGCCGCUGCCCUGGAUAGAUUUAUGUAAGCGUUUGUUAGCUUUCUAUCCAGCAGCUCAAAGCAGCGCGCCGAUCCAGGCCUUUUUCGCCAACCCUGCAAGGUUGCUUGGGCCACGAGGGAACAACUGCCC